rnacentral:lncRNA from 1 species
GGAAAUUGCAAUUGAAGAAAGAUCUUACAUCAUACCAAGAGCGGAGGUUCCAGAGACGUGAUUUUCAAUUUAUCAAGAUGGGCAAUGGAUACUUUCAGUGUUCCUUGAGUAACAGAAAUGGCUUUUUUAUUGGCUGAUCAAACAGAGGGAUCCCCACAGACACAAGGUAAAUUUUAUAAUUUAAAACUCAGGGGUCUAUCUGAUAAAAUGUGGGUACAUGAUCACUUACAAAUAGAGAAAUAAGAAUAACAUUUACAAUACUUUACUUUCUCAGUGAGAUUUAAGAGGACAUUGCUUUUCUAAAAUGAUAGCUGAUAACAGAAAAAGGGAAUAAUAUAAGACUAGGAAAGAUUUCUUAGUGUGUUUGUCUAAUUAAAAUGGCAACAGUGAAUUGUAGAUUGCAUCUUAUGAAAACCAUUGCUUUUUUAAAAGACAAACAAAAAUUUCUACAAAAUUUAUGAAAUAGUAUAUGGAAAUUCAAGACAAGAGACAUGGAGGAUAUACAUCUAAUAUCGAUAUAAUAAAACUUAUAUGAGAGAACA